ACGGUCUCGGGCCGCCGCGGGGAGGCAGAGAGGCGACACGGGAGAGGUGAGAGGAUAGCCGAACAGCGGGCUCGCAGUCGCAGGGUCACUAUGCGAGAGCACAUAUCCUCGCAUGGCAGGUUACAUGUAGCCCUAUAAAAUCAAAUUCAGCCCCAUGUUACCUGAUUUCCUGUGAAUGGAUUUUACUGCUUUUCAGUUUUGGACACUGUGUAACUUGUUGUAUUUCUGGAGCAGUGCUGCGAGGAGGAGGCUAUGAAGUACGUCCAAUACUUAACCUACAGCCAUCUAAUAUGCAAAUUUAAUAAUAGAAGAAGAUGA